ensembl:lncRNA
CGAGGUGCUAUUGGAGCGGGGCCCCUCUCUCUAUUCAGCCUGAGAGCUACAGGGAGAGCGCUGCCGCGGAAGGGGGGGGGGGGACGUGUAAUCACCCAAACAGCCCUUUUUAACCCCCCCACCACCCUCCCCUCCCACCUCCCACGACACUGCUGGAUCUGUGCCGCAAGUCUGCCGCGAGGCUGUCCGUCUUUCACUGCGGAUACCGCGAGGGGAGGCCGAGGAAGACACCGAGAGGAGGAAGAGGAGAACCGGAUGGUCGUGAGGACGGGAAGUCACGUGCCAAAGAAAUAAGUCUGAUUUGCACCUGAGAAGCUCUCCGGCUCCACGCUGGGCCUGAAAUGGGACCCUAGUCACUGUGGCCCCUUGGAGUUUGCGUAGUCCUCUCGAGUCCCACCUGAUCACCUACAUUUUUCCUGCAUGUCACAGUGAGUGCUGCUGCGCUUGAGUCGGAGGAGAGUGUUUCUUACUGGAGAAGCAUGCAGAAAGACCCACACCAGUUAUUCUGUGCUGGUGUAAAGUAAUACAUGUUUUUUGUUGUAUUAUUUGUUAGUAUUAUUUAUAUAAUUGCAUAACUGCUAUAUAUGAUCUAUUAAAAUGUACAAUAUCUCUCAGCCUAAAUCUGAUAUGUCAAGUAAUGUCUGUAAUACUGUCAAGUCCAUUGGUGUUUGCGCAUUGAUACAAG